AAUCAAUACCUCUGUUAUUCUUCUGCUAAUAAACUAACGGUAAAACUCACGUGAGAGGCACGUGGGAAUAAAAACCAAAGCUGAAUAACCUGAACCGUUGAGAGAGAGGGGAGAUGAUCCAACCAAAAGUCCAUAACCACCUCGGUAUCCUCUCUCCAGUGCCGGAGUUCCGCCGUCGUCUCACUGGCUGUUCACCGCUGGAUCAUAAUGUAUGCUAUUGGAGAAGAGCAAAGUUGAAAUGCACAUAGAGGAUCCCUAAGUGGCUUGGAGGACAUAUCAAUAUAUUUUACCAAAAUGUCAAACUCGUUUGUCAUGUGAAGAAAAUCAAUCAACAUGGAGGAGAUGUUUUCAAUGGCUUUUGUAAAUCUGGACUCUAGUACCAGCUUACUAUAUAUACAUUGCAGUGACUAUCUAUGUAGGAGCCCUAAAAACAAGGCUUGUGAUGUAAAAACAGGGCUUGUGAUGUAAUAUACCUACUAGUUGUGGAAUGAUUCAAGCAGAAGAUGAUUGAGAAGAAACUCAGACACAUUCUCGAAUUUUAUUUUA